rnacentral:rRNA from 1 species
AACGAACGCUGGCAGCAUGCCUAACACAUGCAAGUCGAACGAGAUCUUCGGGUCUAGUGGCGCACGGGUGCGUAACGCGUGGGAAUCUGCCCUUUGGUUCGGAAUAACAGUUGGAAACGACUGCUAAUACCGGAUGAUGACGAAAGUCCAAAGAUUUAUCGCCAAAGGAUGAGCCCGCGUAGGAUUAGCUAGUUGGUGUGGUAAAGGCGCACCAAGGCGACGAUCCUUAGCUGGUCUGAGAGGAUGAUCAGCCACACUGGGACUGAGACACGGCCCAGACUCCUACGGGAGGCAGCAGUGGGGAAUAUUGGACAAUGGGCGAAAGCCUGAUCCAGCAAUGCCGCGUGAGUGAUGAAGGCCUUAGGGUUGUAAAGCUCUUUUACCCGGGAUGAUAAUGACAGUACCGGGAGAAUAAGCUCCGGCUAACUCCGUGCCAGCCGCCGCGGUAA